CUCCAAUAUAGGUAACUCCAUCUUCACCAUGGUGAAGAUAAAAUGAAAAGAAUUCAUCUAGUGCUGCCAUAUAUCUUCCUAACUGGUUGGUCAGCCUUGAGCAGCCAAACAGUCACCAGAGGUUGGAGUCACCAGCUUCUGUACUGGCAUUGAAGACCCAAGCUGAGAGGAGUUUAUCUGCAGUCCCAAAUAUGCUCUAGGCUAAGUUUCUGUCUGGAGUGGCACAAAAGGGAAGAAACAGAGACACGAGUGUACCCAUAUCUCUAUGAAGUUGCUGCAACCAAAUUCUGGCAGAUACUCAAGCUCCUUGAGAGCAAUGUUACCAGCUACCUCUAAAAUAGUAUUCCUGUGAAAUUAAGGUAAGAUUAAAAAAAGAAAAUUCAAAGCCCCUCACCCACCACUAUUUUGCUUUAAUGCUUCUGAUCGCCAUGGAAGUGGGAUUAAAAAGAUCUCGAGUCUUUCCCAGUCCCUUGUUGGCCAGUGUUUCUGAGGAGGUGCCAGUGCUUAAUAUGAUCUGGUGCUUCACUGCUUCACAAAUCCCAUCCCCAGACUGUACAGGUAGGCUAGAAGAUAACGAAGAUGACACUUGAAUAUUAAGGCAGAGAUUGUAUCUGUACCAGAGGGAAGUACAGCGAAUGAGUGGUGAAACUAGGACAAGGACUCAGAAUUAUGUAGUCUUGUUCGCUAAAUUGUGCUCC